GCUAAAAUCCGAAAAAGACUUAAAUUUCAGGGACUGAGAGAAUAGUUUAUACCAAAUAUUUCAAACAAAAGACAAAAUUAACUCGACAAACACGCCCCUCAACCCCCGCGCUCUCUCCCGGUCUCUCUGCAAUUUCCAGGGUUUCCUGUUUUCGAUUACCCCAUUCGAUUAAAAAAUCGGAGAGAUGGUUCUAUCACAGAAGAUUCACGAAGCAUUCAAAGGAACAGUGGAGAGAAUCACAGGUCCACGCACUGUUUCUGCCUUUAAAGAGAAAGGCGUUCUUAGUGUCAGCGAAUUCAUUCUCGCCGGUGACAAUCUCGUCUCUAAAUGCCCCACUUGGUCCUGGGAAUCUGGUGAGCCGAGCAAGAGGAAGCCUUACUUGCCUGCAGAGAAACAGUUUCUGAUUACUCGAAAUGUUCCUUGUCUACGAAGAGCUGCGUCUGUAGAAGAAGAUUAUGAAGCUGCUGGAGGUGAAGUUCUACUUGAUAAUGAAGAUAAUGAUGGAUGGCUAGCAACUCAUGGGAAACCUAAAGAAACUAAAGGUGACGAGGAUGAGAAUGUGCCUUCAAUGGAGGCUCUAGAUAUCAGUGUUAAAAGAAUUCCUAUCCAAACAAACCCUUCAUACUUUGGGGGAGAGGAGGAAGAUAUUCCUGACAUGGCAGACUUUGAAGACCCUGACAAUCUAAUCGAAUCAGAUCCUGCAACACUUCAGACUACGUAUCUAGUGGCUCACGAACCUGAUGAUGAUGAUAACAUUCUACGCACUCGAACAUAUGAUGUCAGCAUCACGUACGAUAAAUAUUAUCAAACUCCUCGUGUAUGGCUUACUGGAUAUGAUGAGUCAAGGAUGCUUUUGGAACCAGAGCUUGUACUUGAAGAUGUUAGCCAAGACCAUGCACGCAAAACGGUAACUAUUGAAGACCAUCCUCACUUACCUGGGAAGCAUGCAUCAGUGCAUCCUUGCCGACAUGGGGCUGUAAUGAAGAAAAUUAUUGAUGUUCUAAUGUCACGCGGAGUUGAGCCAGAAGUUGACAAGUACCUUUUCUUAUUUUUGAAAUUUGUAGCCUCUGUAAUUCCAACCAUUGAAUAUGAUUACACCAUGGAUUUCGAUCUUGGUAGCUCAAGUAGCUGAUGUGAGGUCUUAACCUAAAUACCGGAUUCUUGAUGAUUUUCAAUACAAAGGCUGAAACUGCAGUAAAUUCAAGAAAAAUCUUCUGGGGUGUUUGCAAUCAUUGCACCGUACAACUUCCAUAACAAUUAUUAUUGUACAUAAAUCCUAUAAACAAUUUCUUACUGAUACGCCUCAAUAACUGUGAAUCCCUUGUGUUCUUAUGAUCAAGUAAUUGUUUAUUUAUACAAUGUAAAUGCACAGUUUUAUUUGGAUUGUUUAACGUGACAAACCAUGUUCAAUAAA